GACGAACGCUGGCGGCGUGCUUAACACAUGCAAGUCGAGCGGAAAGGCCCUUUCGGGGGUACUCGAGCGGCGAACGGGUGAGUAACACGUGAGUAAUCUGCCCUUGGCUUUGGGAUAACUACCGGAAACGGUGGCUAAUACCGGAUACGACGCACUCAGGCAUCUGAUGUGUGUGGAAAGUUUUUUCGGCCAGGGAUGUGCUCGCGGCCUAUCAGCUUGUUGGUGGGGUAAUGGCCUACCAAGGCUUCGACGGGUAGCCGGCCUGAGAGGGUGACCGGCCACACUGGGACUGAGACACGGCCCAGACUCCUACGGGAGGCAGCAGUGGGGAAUAUUGGACAAUGGGCGGAAGCCUGAUCCAGCAACGCCGCGUGAGGGAUGACGG
rnacentral:rRNA from 1 species